GCACAAGCGGUGGAUGAUGUGGUUUAAUUCGAUGCAACGCGAAAACCUUACCCACCUUUGACAUGGCAGGAAUCCUGAAGAGAUUUGGGAGUGCUCGAAAGAGAACCUGCACACAGGUGCUGCAUGGCUGUCGUCAGCUCGUGUCGUGAGAUGUUGGGUUAAGUCCCGCAACGAGCGCAACCCUUGUCAUUAGUUGCUACAUUCAGUUGGGCACUCUAAUGAGACUGCCGGUGACAAACCGGAGGAAGGUGGGGAUGACGUCAAGUCCUCAUGGCCCUUAUAGGUGGGGCUACACACGUCAUACAAUGGAUGGUACAAAGGGUCGCCAACCCGCGAGGGGGAGCCAAUCCCAUAAAGCCAUUCGUAGUCCGGAUCGCAGUCUGCAACUCGACUGCGUGAAGUCGGAAUCGCUAGUAAUCGUGGAUCAGAAUGUCACGGUGAAUACGUUCCCGGGUCUU
rnacentral:rRNA from 1 species